rnacentral:lncRNA from 1 species
UUUGAUUUAUUAGGAAUAAUAUCUAAGGUAUUAGAAAGUGUAUAUUACCAAAAAAAAACAAAAAAAACCAAAAUAAGAAAAAAAAGAAAAGAAAAAAAUGAUUUUAAUUUUGCUAUAUCUAGAACCCGAGUAAUUAAGUCCAUAGGGGUGCUUCAACACCUAGUGUCCUAAGAUCAACUAGUUUAGGAGUCACUGGCCUAAAG